GAAUCUCCUUCUUCUUUCUGUCUCAGCAUCUCUUCUCUACAGUGACUUUGAGUUCCCAACCAAACGUCAGCUAUGAAGAUCCUUUACCUUCUUUUUGCUGUCCUCUUCCUCAUGAUGCAAGCUGGUGUACAAGGACGUUGUAGACCCGAGGCUACCUGGCAAUGUUUGCGAAGAGGAGGACGGUGCUACAGUUGGCGGUGCCCCUUUUUUCGGCGUCCCGUUGGACGCUGCUGCUGGUCGAGCAUUUGCUGUAGAUGAAUAUAAACACAGGGUUGGAAUGAGUGAAGGCGGCAGAGUUUGUCAAUGCAGCAUCUCUGGGAAUCUGGGAGACAACCACUUGCUUCUAAAACCCUUGGAGAAAAUCCACAAGAGAGCUUUGUAUCAUAUUUUCAGACUUCUUACUCUUCUUUCAAUAAAAGCAACUGGUUGUGGUGGUGUGUUGCAAACAAA